GUAGGUGACCUGCGGAGGAUCAUUGUCGAUGCCUCACAAGCAAUCUGACUCGUGAACUUGUUUGCUUACAUGGGUUGGUUUGGGGUGUGAAAACACGCCUGCCUCCCCCUAAGGCAUGGAGGCGACUACACCUUGUGUGGUUGUCUCUUAGCCUUUAACAAACCCCCGGCGCUACAUGUGCCAAGGAAAUCUAAUUUAUUCAGUGCGUUCCCCUCAGUCCGGAAACGGUGCUGUGCGGGUGACGUCGUGAUACAUUAUUAUUCGAAAUGACUCUCGGCAACGGAUAUCUCGGCUCUUGCAUCGAUGAAGAACGUAGCGAAAUGCGAUACUUGGUGUGAAUUGCAGAAUCCCGUGAACCAUCGAGUCUUUGAACGCAAGUUGCGCCCGAAGCCAUUAGGUUGAGGGCACGCCUGCCUGGGUGUCACACAUCGUUACUCCAAUCACAAUGUCUCUUUUUGGGGUCAUUGGGGAGUGUGAAUGUUGGCUUCCCAUGAGCUUUGUCUCAUGGUUGGUUGAAAAUCAAGUCUGUGGUGGAGUGCACCACGAUUGUUGGUGGUUGAGUAAAAGCUCGAGACCCGUCGUGUGUGACUCUUGCUAGUUUUUGGACUUCAUGACCCAUAUGCAUCUAUAUGAUGCUCAUAACGAGACCUCAG
rnacentral:misc_RNA from 1 species